GAAAGCAAAUGAGAGACUGGCCAAUCUUUGCUUGUCUCUUGGUUGGAACAGAGAACAACAACCCAUCAAGGUCAAGAUAUCGUUUCGGUUGCCCUUGCAGUUUGUUGGUUGGCAUGCCGAUUGUUGCUUGACUACAU